CAGGUUUACCUGUGUGACUGCGUACCUUUUGUAUAAUGGGUCAGCGACUUAUAUUCUGUAGCAAGGUUAACCGAAUAGGGGAGCCGGAGGGAAACCGAGUCUUAAUUGGGCGUUAAGUUGCAGGGUAUAGACCCGAAACCCGGUGAUCUAGCCAUGGGCAGGUUGAAGGUUGGGUAACACUAACUGGAGGACCGAACCGACUAAUGUUGAAAAAUUAGCGGAUGACCUGUGGCUGGGGGUGAAAGGCCAAUCAAACCGGGAGAUAGCUGGUUCUCCCCGAAAGCUAUUUAGGUAGCGCCUCGUGAAUUCAUCUCCGGGGGUAGAGCACUGUUUCGGCUAGGGGGCCAUCCCGGCUUACCAACCCGAUGCAAACUGCGAAUACCGGAGAAUGUUAUCACGGGAGACACACGGCGGGUGCUAACGUCCGUCGUGAAGAGGGAAACAACCCAGACCGCCAGCUAAGGUCCCAAAGUCAUGGUUAAGUGGGAAACGAUGUGGGAAGGCCCAGACAGCCAGGAUGUUGGCUUAGAAGCAGCCAUCAUUUAAAGAAAGCGUAAUAGCUCACUGGUCGAGUCGGCCUGCGCGGAAGAUGUAACGGGGCUAAACCAUGCACCGAAGCUGCGGCAGCGAACGUAUCACCCAAGACAACUUUACGGAGUUGACGAUUGACGGAGCGAAGCGACGUCAAAGCGUUCAUUAAAGUCGAGUUGGCUUAGGGAUACGUUCGUUGGGUAGGGGAGCGUUCUGUAAGCCUGUGAAGGUGUGUCGUGAGGCAUGCUGGAGGUAU
rnacentral:rRNA from 1 species